CAGUGGCGAACGGGUGAGUAACACGUGGGCAAUCUGCCCUGCACUCUGGGACAAGCCUUGGAAACGAGGUCUAAUACCGGAUAUUACCCUUGACCGCAUGGUCUUGGGUGGAAAGCUCCGGCGGUGCAGGAUGAGCCCGCGGCCUAUCAGCUUGUUGGUGGGGUGAUGGCCUACCAAGGCGACGACGGGUAGCCGGCCUGAGAGGGCGACCGGCCACACUGGGACUGAGACACGGCCCAGACUCCUACGGGAGGCAGCAGUGGGGAAUAUUGCACAAUGGGCGAAAGCCUGAUGCAGCGACGCCGCGUGAGGGAUGAAGGCCUUCGGGUUGUAAACCUCUUUCAGCAGGGAAGAAGCGCAAGUGACGGUACCUGCAGAAGAAGCACCGGCUAACUACGUGCCAGCAGCCGCGGUAAUACGUAGGGUGCGAGCGUUGUCCGGAAUUAUUGGGCGUAAAGAGCUCGUAGGCGGCCUGUCGCGUCGGAUGUGAAAGCCCGGGGCUUAACCCCGGGUCUGCAUUCGAUACGGGCAGGCUAGAGUGUGGUAGGGGAGAUCGGAAUUCCU
rnacentral:rRNA from 1 species